GUCUGGACUAGCACCCUGUUACAUUAGUAGUACUUUAUAUGGGCCAGGUGCAGUGGCUCACACCUGUAAUGCCAGCACUUUGGAAGGCCGAGGCAGGUGGAUCACUUGAGGUCAGGAGUUUGAGACCAGCCUGGCCAACAUGGUGAAACCUGGUCUCUAUCAAAAGUACAAAAUUUAGCUGGGCAUGGUGGCGUGCACCUGUAAUCCCAGCUACUUGAGAGGCUGAGUCAGGAGAAUUGCUUGAGCCCAGGAGGAGGGAAUUGCAGUGAGCCAUGAUCAUUCCAUUACACUCCAGCCUAGGUGACAGAGAGAGACUCCAUCUCAAAAAAAAAGUAGUACUUUGUAUGUUUUUAUUUUACAAUGAAUAUGCCUCAGGGAUAGGGUUUGUAGCAAUAUGUAUUUGAAGAAAAGAAUACACAUUACUGUGUUUGCAGGGGCCCAAAGAUUGUAGCUAUCCAGUAUAUCCUAUUGUUUUUUGCUUCAUGCCCACUCCCUUCUGAUAGCUGUAAGAAAAGAUGUCAUCAUAUGGUAAAGCGUUUAGCACAACCCUUGGCUCAUAGUAAACACUCAGGAGCUGUUACUUUCCAUUAUAAUUCUGGGAGCAUAGCCAUGACCUACAACCCUUCCCUUCACCAUUGUCAAGAGCAAAAAUGCUGGCCACCAUGGCCCGUGUCCAUUCUCAUGUAUCUGUGCAGGAAUAAAUGGCUCAAUCUUAUGAAUUUCCUCUAAUACCUGCACUAGGUCCUUCCGAACUUCUGGCAAGUUAUAAUUUCAGAACAGUUACCAAAGGAGUAGGGCAUUUACUAAAGGGGUAGAUCCUUUAUUUCAUGGUCAGUGCAGCCAACAUGACCUCCACAUACAUUCUUCACCCAUCUUUCCUUCACAUGGCUCUGCUCACUACUGCCCAUCACCCAGCCUCCUGAAAGGCAGCUAUGUCUUGCUCAGAAGCUGUAAGUGUUGGGGGAGGGAUAGAAGGCUGCAUUUGACAGGAAACUUUCUAUUUUAUUUCGUGUAAAGGACUGCUUCUGCCAUGCCUUUCAGCUGUGCAAAGAUAAAGGCAUAAAGCAUUGUCUCCGUGAUUAAGAGCAAGGCUAGUCAGCAUAGCUUCCUCAGAUUGAGGCUUUUCUUUCCAAGAAGUAAAGAAGCAACUCUAUUACUGUUGGCAAUGAAUAGGGGGUGUGUGUGUGUGUCUAGAGAGAGAGAGAGGUGGGGAGACAGAGACAAAGACAACGACAGACAGGUGGGAGUGGAGAGGGAUGGAAUACAUGAAUGUUGCCUGCAAUGAGUAUAAAAAAUUUAAAAAUCCUUUCACAAUCCAGUUCCACACCUAAACACUGAGUUCUCAGAAGUUCUGGGUCUUUUUUCUCUGUGAGCAUUUCAUUUUCUCAGUCUGCUGGGCAGUUACUUGAAGAGCAUUUUCCAAAGAGGAUGAUGCAGCACAGUAAGUGGCCCUAGAGACUGCCCCGUUCAAACCUAAAUCAGCUGUUGUUAACACUGCCUGAGAGCUAUUUGGCAGUCUCUGUCCAAACAUUUCACAGCAGCGGCUGCCCACCUCCUUGUCUCCUUACAGCUCUGACCAAAUGGCCAAGUUGGGAUGGACUGGCUACUUGGUGCAACAGACAUUCAAGGUGAAUGGGUAAGUCCUAAACCAGGUGAAUCCUUAUCCACAUUGCCAACCCUGGAAAGCCAUAUCUUCAGAGACCACAUAAUUUGAACAGGCCCUGUGCCUGACACAUCCGAGCUGAGAAAGUGGGUCAGAAGAGUUGGAUAUUUGGGAAUAUAAAACUGCCUAGUUGCCAGGCACGGUGGCUCACGCCUGUAAUCCCAGCACUUCGGGAGGCUGAGGCGGGCAGAUCAUGAGGCCAGGAGUUUGAGACCAGCCUGGCCAAUAUGGUGAAACCCCCAUCUCUACUAAAAAUACAAAAAUUAGCUGGGCGUGGUGGUGUGCACCUGUAGUCCCAGCUACUGGGGAGGCUGAGGCAGGAGAAUUGCUUGAACCCAGGAGGUGGAGGUUGCAGUGAGCCGAGAUCGUGCCGCUGCACUCCAGCUGAGGCAGCAUAGUGAGACUCCAUCUCAAAAAAAAAAAAAAAA
rnacentral:lncRNA from 1 species